rnacentral:rRNA from 1 species
CCUACGGGGGGCAGCAGUGAGGAAUAUUGGUCAAUGGGCUUACGCCUGAACCAGCCAAGUCGCGUGAGGGAAGACUGCCCUAUGGGUUGUAAACCUCUUUUGUCAGGGAGCAAUUGGCGCUACGUGUAGCGUUAUCGAGAGUACCUGAAGAAAAAGCAUCGGCUAACUCCGUGCCAGCAGCCGCGGUAAUACGGAGGAUGCGAGCGUUAUCCGGAUUUAUUGGGUUUAAAGGGUGCGCAGGCGGGCUGUUAAGCCGGCGGUAAAAAUUCAGGGCUCAACCCUGUCGAGCCGUCGGAACUGGCAGU